CUCUCGUCCUCGCUGGGUCAGCCACAACCCUGAGACACGGUGGUGAAGGUCGGGGUGAACGGAUUUGGCCGCAUUGGGUGCCUGGUCACCAGGGCUGCUAUUAACUAUGGCA